AUUUAAAUAGCUUAAGUAUAAAGUAUAAUAUUGAAGAUAUUAUGAUGAUUUUUUAAUCUUUAAAUA
rnacentral:tRNA from 1 species